UACGUAGGCGGAAAUCUAUGUCAGUGGUGAAAUCCCGCAGCUCAACUGUGGAACUGUCAUUGAUACUGAUAUUCUUGAAUGUAGUCGAGGUAGGCGGAAUGUGUAAUGUAGCGGUGAAAUGCUUAGAUAUUACACAGAACACCGAUUGCGAAGGCAGCUUACUAAACUAUGAUUGACGCUGAGGCACGAAAGCGUGGGGAGCGAACAGGAUUAGAUACCCUGGUAGUC
rnacentral:rRNA from 1 species